rnacentral:rRNA from 1 species
UUCUAUGGGCUUACAUUCCUUAAAGGCAUAAAAUCCCAUCUGAUCCUAGAAGCUAAGCAGGAUGAGCUCUGGUUGGUACUUGGAUGGGAGACCAGAUGCUGGAGACUAUAUUGC